rnacentral:rRNA from 1 species
GAUGAACGCUGGCGGCGUGCUUAACACAUGCAAGUCGAACGAAACACCUUAUUUGAUUUUCUUCGGAACUGAAGAUUUGGUGAUUGAGUGGCGGACGGGUGAGUAACGCGUGGGUAACCUGCCCUGUACAGGGGGAUAACAGUCAGAAAUGACUGCUAAUACCGCAUAAGACCACAGCACCGCAUGGUGCAGGGGUAAAAACUCCGGUGGUACAGGAUGGACCCGCGUCUGAUUAGCUGGUUGGUGAGGUAACGGCUCACCAAGGCGACGAUCAGUAGCCGGGUUGAGAGAGUGAACGGCCACAUUGGGACUGAGACACAGCCCAAACUCCUACGGGAGGCAGCAGUGGGGAAUAUUGCACAAUGGGGGAAAACCUGAUGCAGCGACGCCGCGUGAGUGAAGAAGUAUUUCGGUAUGUAAAGCUCUAUCAGAAGGGAAGAAAAUGACGGUACCUGACAAAGAAGCCCCGGCUAACUACGUG